GUCUAUAUAGAUUAUUUUAAAAAUCGUGAUGCUGUUAACUUCAAGAAGAGGUUUUCUCUAUAGUCG
rnacentral:tRNA from 1 species